GCUGGGCGUGGUGGUGCGUGCCUGUAAUCCCAGCUGCUUGGGAAGCUGAGGCAGAGAAUUGCUUGAACCCAGGAGGUGGAGGUUGCAGUGAGCCAAGAUUGCACCACUGCACUCCAGCCUGGGUGACAGAGUGAGACUCUGUCUCAA
rnacentral:SRP_RNA from 1 species